rnacentral:tRNA from 1 species
CGGGGCAUAGUCUAAAGUAGAACGCCUUCUUUACACGGAGGAAGUACUCGUUCAACCCGAGUUGCCCUGA